rnacentral:rRNA from 1 species
UACGUAGGGUCCGAGCGUUGUCCGGAAUUACUGGGCGUAAAGCGUGCGUAGACGGUAGCGUAAGUCAGAUGUGAAAGCCCCGGGCUCAACCUGGGAAUUGCAUUUGAGACUGCUCUGCUCGGGUGCGGAAGAGGGAAGCGGAAUUUCCGGUGUAGCGGUGAAAUGCGUAGAUAUCGGAAGGAACACCAGUGGCGAAAGCGGCUUCCUGGUCCGACACCGACGUUCAGGCACGAAAGCGUGGGGAGCAAACAGG